UACCAGCACCCCGAGUGGUCGGGACGUUUAUUGGGCCUAAAGCAUCCGUAGCCGGUUCUACAAGUCUUCCGUUAAAUCCACCUGCUUAACAGAUGGGCUGCGGAAGAUACUAUAGAGCUAGGAGGCGGGAGAGGCAAGCGGUACUCGAUGGGUAGGGGUAAAAUCCGUUGAUCCAUUGAAGACCACCAGUGGCGAAGGCGGCUCACUGGCCCGAUACUGACGCUGAGGCACGAAAGCGUGGGGAGCAAACAGG
rnacentral:rRNA from 1 species